UACGUAGGGCGCAAGCGUUGUCCGGAAUUAUUGGGCGUAAAGAGCUCGUAGGCGGUUUGUCGCGUCUGCUGUGAAAACCUAAGGCUCAACCUUGGGCUUGCAGUGGGUACGGGCAGACUAGAGUGCGGUAGGGGUGACUGGAAUUCCUGGUGUAGCGGUGGAAUGCGCAGAUAUCAGGAGGAACACCGAUGGCGAAGGCAGGUCACUGGGCCGCAACUGACGCUGAGGAGCGAAAGCAAGGGGAGCGAACAGG
rnacentral:rRNA from 1 species